rnacentral:rRNA from 1 species
CCAAUAGCGUAUAUUAAAGUUGUUGCAGUUAAAAAGCUCGUAGUUGAAUUUCGGGGUUAGUAGGUCGGUCAUGCCUCUGGUAUGCACUGGUCUAACUGAUUCCUCCUUCCUGAUGAGCCGUAAUGCCAUUAAUUUGGUGUUGCGGGGAAUCUGGACUGUUACUUUGAAAAAAUUAGAGUGUUUAAAGCAGGCUAACGCUUGAAUACAUUAGCAUGGAAUAAUGGAAUAGGACGUUCGAUCCUAUUUUGUUGGUUUCUAGGAUUGACGUAAUGAUUAAUAGGGAUAGUUGGGGGCAUUAGUAUUCAAUUGUCAGAGGUGAAAUGCUUGGAUUUAGUGAAGACUAACUACUGCGAAAGCAUUUGCCAAGGAUGUUUUCAUUAAUCAAGAACGAAAGUUAGGGGAUCGAAGACGAUCAGAUACCGUCGUAGUCUUAACCAUAAACUAUGCCGACUAGGGAUCGGAUGAUGUUAAUUUUUUAAUGACUCAUUCGGCGCCUUACG